CAAUCGAGAUUGGGGUUGGUAGAGUAGAGGACUGAAAAUCCUCGUG
rnacentral:tRNA from 1 species